CGCACCUUGCACUCCUUGGUAUUCCGAGGAGUAUGCUUGUUUGAGAGUAUUGUAAUCAUCAAUCCACCUUUUGCUUUUUGUGAAGGUUGGCUUGGAUUUGGAGACUGCUGGUCACUUAGGUGGUUUACAGCUUCUCUUGAAUGCAUUAGUUGAAUGAAGUUGCAACGCUAUGUGUAGUGUGAUAAUUAUCUUCACUGCAUAGUUGUAAUGAAGUUUGGCUUCUAACAGUCUCUUCAAUGAGACAACUUUGAACAUUUUACCUCAAAUCAAGUAGGACUACCCGCUGAACUUAA
rnacentral:misc_RNA from 1 species